GAUGAAGAACGUAGCGAAAUGCGAUACGUAAUGUGAAUUGCAGAAUUCAGUGAAUCAUCGAAUCUUUGAACGCAUAUUGCGCUCUUUGGUAUUCCGAAGAGCAUGCUUGUUUGAGUAUCAGUAAACACCUCAAAGCUUUUGGAUUUUUUAAUCGAAAAGCUUUGGACUUGAGCAAUCCCAACACCAAUCUUUUUGAGAUCGGUGGCGGGUUGCUUGAAAUGCAGGUGCAGCUGGACAUUCUCCUGAGCUAAAAGCAUAUUCAUUUAGUCACGUCAAACGGAUUAUUACUUUUGCUGCAGCUAACAUAAAGGGAGUUUGACCGUAUUGGCUGACUGAUGCAGGAUUUCACAAGGGUCGGCAACGAUUCUUGUUAAACUCGAUCUCAAAUCAAGUAAGACUACCCGCUGAACUUAAGCAUAUCAAUAAGCGGAGGA
rnacentral:misc_RNA from 1 species